rnacentral:rRNA from 1 species
UAGGGAAUCUUCCGCAAUGGGCGAAAGCCUGACGGAGCAACGCCGCGUGAGUGAUGAAGGUCUUCGGAUCGUAAAACUCUGUUAUUAGGGAAGAACAAAUGUGUAAGUAACUAUGCACGUCUUGACGGUACCUAAUCAGAAAGCCACGGCUAACUACGUGCCAGCAGCCGCGGUAAUACGUAGGUGGCAAGCGUUAUCCGGAAUUAUUGGGCGUAAAGCGCGCGUAGGCAGUUUUUUAAGUCUGAUGUGAAAGCCCACGGCUCAACCGUGGAGGGUCAUUGGAAACUGGAAAACUUGAGUGCAGAAGAGGAAAGUGGAAUUCCAUGUGUAGCGGUGAAAUGCGCAGAGAUAUGGAGGAACACCAGUGGCGAAGGCGACUUUCUGGUCUGUAACUGACGCUGAUGUGCGAAAGCGUGGGGAUCAAACAGG